UGAGGAAUAUUGGGCAAUGCCCGCAAGGGUGACCCAGCAACGCCGCGUGGAGGAUGAAUGUCGUAAGAUUGUAAACUCCUGUUAGAGGGGAAGAAUAGUACCGGUUGGACCGGUAUAUGACUGUACCCUCAGAGAAAGCCCCGGCUAACUACGUGCCAGCAGCCGCGGUAAUACGUAGGGGGCAAGCGUUGUCCGGAUUUACUGGGUGUAAAGGGCGCGCAGGCGGGAUAAAAAGUCAGUGGUGAAAUCCUACAGCUUAACUGUAGAACUGCCUUUGAUACUUUUAUUCUUGAGUUCGGGAGAGAGAGACGGAAUUACAGGUGUAGUGGUGAAAUACGUAGAUAUCUGGAAGAACACCAGUUGCGAAGGCGGUCUCUUGGUCCGACACUGACGCUGAGGCGCGAAAGC
rnacentral:rRNA from 1 species